GACGAACGCUGGCGGCGUGCUUAACACAUGCAAGUCGAACGGAAAGGCCCUGCUUUUGUGGGGUGCUCGAGUGGCGAACGGGUGAGUAACACGUGAGUAACCUGCCCCUGACUUUGGGAUAACUUCAGGAAACUGGGGCUAAUACCGGAUAGGAGCUCCUGCUGCAUGGUGGGGGUUGGAAAGUUUCGGCGGUUGGGGAUGGACUCGCGGCUUAUCAGCUUGUUGGUGGGGUAGUGGCUUACCAAGGCUUUGACGGGUAGCCGGCCUGAGAGGUUGACCGGCCACAUUGGGACUGAGAUACGGCCCAGACUCCUACGGGAGGCAGCAGUGGGGAAUAUUGCACAAUGGGCGGAAGCCUGAUGCAGCAACGCCGCGUGCGGGAUGACGGCCUUCGGGUUGUAAACCGCUUUCGCCUGUGACGAAGCGUGAGUGACGGUAAUGGGUAAAGAAGCACCGGCUAACUACGUG
rnacentral:rRNA from 1 species